rnacentral:lncRNA from 1 species
AUGCGUUGUUGUGAGUUUUGUGGGUCCGGAUUGUGGUUUUGUGGUGUGGUUUGUGUUGUUACAACUGAGAGGCAAGGCUUUUGUGUUGUGUUGCCAAGUUUUGUAUUUCUGGGGCGUUUAGUUGUGUUGUUACAACUGGGAGGCAAGGCUUUUGCAUUGUGUUGCCAAAUUUUGUAUUUCUGGGGCGUUUAGUUGUGUUGUUAUCGCAUGAUGCGUUGUUGUGAGUUUUGUGGGUCUGGAUUGUGGUUUUGUGGUGUGGUUGUGUUGUUGUAACCUGGAGGCAAGCCUUUUGCAUUGUGUUGCCAAGUUUCGUAUUUCUGGGAUGUUUAGUUUUGUUGUUAUAGUCACUGCGCCCGCAACUUUAUCCUUUUAUAUAUAUAGAUUCCUCCAAAACAUCCUUGCAAAUGUGCAAACACUUGAGCAAAGUGUGAUUUUUUUCUCAGCAAGUCUUAAAAGAACCCCAUUUUUAUGAAGAUGGAGACUAAUGAAAUUUCUUUCUCUAAAUCUUCUGAGAUGCUUUCUCAGCCUUCUUUCUUUCCAUUAAUAUUAGAUGCUUUUGGUAUCCAAUGUACUUCACCUAAGUUGCUUUGGAGCUAGACAAAAUCUUCAGUCUUGUAGUAAGUCUGAUGAAUGGUACUGCCUUGAAUUUUCUCCCUCAAAUCCAAACCUUACUUUCUAGAGGUGUAAAAAAAGCAUUGGCAGGCAACCUGUUGAGUAGUUACAAAUGUGUAAGUUAGAACUAAGUACAGUCUGUGCUCCCCAUUUGUAGGUUUGACUUUUCUGGGUUUGGUUAUGUGUCUGUGUGAUUAAUAUAUUCUCAAGGAAUGUAUAAUUCCUACAGUACCACUCUAUGGUCAACUUCCACCAGGAGUAGGAAGUUGACCGUAGUGUCAUGCUGGAGGACCUAGAAAUUCCUAGAGAAAUGUUAACUUGGAUGAAAAACAAGCAUCUUAAAACAUUGCGGUUUUUCAUUUUUGCAGGGAUGCUGUGCUCUUAACCCCAACAAUGAGAAGGACAGACUGUAUUUGUAACUGCUCAGCUUUCAUGUUUACAGUUGUAAAGCUAUUGCUGUUAUUGCAAAUGACUCCCCCCACCCCACAGAGAUUGAACUGAAGAGAUCUAUUUUUGUGGUGGUUACGACACUAGUUUCUUCCCAAUAGCAAUCUCUAAUGCAAUGAGAAGUUACAUAGGCUUCCUACUAUUGAUUGUCACACCAGAGAAGAGACAAGGAAGCUGGAAGGAUUAUGCUGCUGCAUCCCAAUCAGAACUUCAUCAGUUGGACUUCUGACUUUUGAGG